GGUGUCACCACUUCACCCACGACAUCGUCCACGAUCGCAGAGACAUGGUCCAUGAUCGGAGAGACAUUGUUGAGGAUGAGGGAGACAUCGUCCACGAUCAGGGACAUUGUCCGUGAUCACAGAGACCUUGUCAAAGAUGAGAGAGACGUUGUCCGUGAUCAGAGACAUUGUCCGUGCUUCGUAGAGACCUUGCGAUAGAAUCGGCGGAGACGGGGGUCACCGAUUUGACGGCACUGCCCGCGAUCAGGGACAUUGUUAAUGAUCACAGAGACACCGUCGAUGAUCUCAGAGACAUCGUCCACGAUCACAAUGACACAGGCCAUGAUCGCAGAGACUUUGUCCAUAAUCUCAGAGACAUUGUCUGCGAUCACAGACGUAGUCCACGAUCACAGAGAGUCUUCGUACAAUGAAGAAGUUCUUUGAGACCAGGACAGAGGCCUCCAGGUGUCACCACUUCAUCCACGACAUCGUCCACGAUCGCAGAGACAUGGUCCAUGAUCGGAGAGACAUUGUUGAGGAUGAGGGAGACAUCGUCCACGAUCAGGGACAUUGUCCGUGAUCACAGAGACCUUGUCAAAGAUGAGAGAGACGUUGUCCGUGAUCAGAGACAUUGUCCGUGCUUCGUAGAGACCUUGCGAUAGAAUCGGCGGAGACGGGGGUCACCGAUUUGACGGCACUGCCCGCGAUCAGGGACAUUGUUAAUGAUCACAGAGACACCGUCGAUGAUCUCAGAGACAUCGUCCACGAUCACAAUGACACAGGCCAUGAUCGCAGAGACUUUGUCCAUAAUCUCAGAGACAUUGUCUGCGAUCACAGACGUAGUCCACGAUCACAGAGAGUCUUCGUACAAUGAAGAAGUUCUUUGAGACCAGGACAGAGGCCUCCAGGUGUCACCACUUCACCCACGACAUCGUCCACGAUCGCAGAGACAUGGUCCAUGAUCGGAGAGACAUUGUUGAGGAUGAGGGAGACAUCGUCCACGAUCAGGGACAUUGUCCGUGAUCACAGAGACCUUGUCAAAGAUGAGAGAGACGUUGUCCGUGAUCAGAGACAUUGUCCGUGCUUCGUAGAGACCUUGCGAUAGAAUCGGCGGAGACGGGGGUCACCGAUUUGACGGCACUGCCCGCGAUCAGGGACAUUGUUAAUGAUCACAGAGACACCGUCGAUGAUCUCAGAGACAUCGUCCACGAUCACAAUGACACAGGCCAUGAUCGCAGAGACUUUGUCCAUAAUCUCAGAGACAUUGUCUGCGAUCACAGACGUAGUCCACGAUCACAGAGAGUCUUCGUACAAUGAAGAAGUUCUUUGAGACCAGGACAGAGGCCUCCAGAAGGAGAGGACAUCAGCAGCUGAAGACCUGUAGCGGAUGAAAGAAAACAGAAGUGUUAUGAAGCUGUUGGAAAAAAGACCUCCACCAUCUAACUGCUGCAAACAGUGUUUCCUGUUGUUCAAGUGAAAACACUUUUUUCUGUUUUUCUUUACCAUCUGUAAUGUAGUCAUGAGCACAUUUUCCACAGACUAAGAUGUUCUUAUUAAACACCUGUGAGAACGUUCAACUGCUUAUGAUACAACUUUAAGUAAUAAUUGUAUCACAAAGACGCUUUGUAGACAUGUUCGUCUUUGGAAAAUGUGUUCAUUAACCCUAACUCUAACAAGUGUUUCCUUGUGGUCAAAUGUCUAUCUUUGCUGUGAUUUGUUAAA